GGGGCUGUCUGGCUUUGACAGCGGGCAGGAAUGGUAUGUAAGCAGGCAGUGCUCUGUCGGUCCGCACUAUAAAAAGACAGUCAAAAAUUAUCUGGCGAAACUAAUUUUGCUUUUGCUGCUUGAUCGAAGUACAGUAGAUCAGCUUAAUCACGGCACUAGGUGCUGUGACAAAACAUCACCCGAAAGCUCUUGCUCCGAAGCUCGUCGAUACGGUGGUGCAGUCAAAUCGGGGAUAGUUUCUGAUGGCUUCGCAUCAGGGAUGAAAUUUUGAGAAGAUACGGUUAUGGCCCGGUGGCUUCAGCCAAGUCAUGGCCCGACAAUUUAAGUGGAGAUAAGCCUGUAGAAAGCAUAUGGUUUCCCCGUUUGGACGAGGGUUCGACUCCCUCCAGCUCCAC
rnacentral:tmRNA from 1 species